rnacentral:rRNA from 1 species
UACAGAGGGUGCGAGCGUUUGUUCGGAAUUACUGGGCGUAAAGCGCGCGUGGUGGUGUGUUAAGUCUGCCGGUCAAAUGCCGAGGCUCAACCUCGUUGCACGCCGGGGAUACUGGCACGCUAGAGACAAGUAGAGGCAAGCGGAAUUCCGGGUGUAGCGGUGGAAUGCGUAGAGAUCCGGAAGAACACCGGAGGCGAAGGCGGCUUGCUGGGCUGGUCUGACGCUGAGGCGCGAAAGCGUGGGGAGCGAACAGG